GAUAUGCGAUAACUAGUGUGAAUUGCAGAAUUCCGUGAAUCAUCGAGUCUUUGAACGCACAUUGCGCCCCCUGGUAUUCCGGGGGGCAUGCCUGUCCGAGCGUCAUUGCUGCCCAUCAAGCACGGCUUGUGUGUUGGGUCGUCGUCCCCUCUCCGGGGGGGACGGGCCCCAAAGGCAGCGGCGGCACCGCGUCCGAUCCUCGAGCGUAUGGGGCUUUGUCACCCGCUCUGUAGGCCCGGCCGGCGCUUGCCGAACGCAAAUCAAUCUUUUUCCAGGUUGACCUCGGAUCAGGUAGGGAUACCCGCUGAACUUAAGC
rnacentral:misc_RNA from 1 species